UACGUAGGGUGCGAGCGUUGUCCGGAAUUAUUGGGCGUAAAGAGCUCGUAGGCGGUUUGUUGCGUCUAUCGUGAAAACCUGCAGCUUAACUGUGGGCUUGCGGUGGAUACGGGCAGACUUGAGUUCGGUAGGGGAGACUGGAAUUCCUGGUGUAGCGGUGAAAUGCGUAGAUAUCAGGAGGAACACCGGUGGCGAAGGCGGAUCUCUGGGCCAUUACUGACGCUGAGGAGCGAAAGCGUGGGGAGCGAACAGG
rnacentral:rRNA from 1 species